rnacentral:rRNA from 1 species
CACGUAGUUAGCCGGGGCUUCUUGGUCAGGUACCGUCCAAAGUCCAAAGGACUUUUUUUCUUCCCUGCUGAUAGAGCUUUACGUACCGAAAUACUUCUUCACUCACGCGGCGUCGCUGCAUCAGGGUUUCCCCCAUUGUGCAAUAUUCCCCACUGCUGCCUCCCGUAGGAGUUUGGGCCGUGUCUCAGUCCCAAUGUGGCCGUUCACCCUCUCAGGCCGGCUACUGAUCGUCGCUUUGGUGGGCCGUUACCCCGCCAACUGGCUAAUCAGACGCGGAUCCAUCGUAUACCACCGGAGUUUUUCACACUGUUCCAUGCGGAACCGUGCGCUUAUGCGGUAUUAGCACCUAUUUCUAAGUGUUAUCCCCCUGUAUACGGCAGGUUAUCCACGCGUUACUCACCCGUCCGCCACUAAUCCAUACAUCACUAGGUUUCAAUAUGGAUCCGUUCGACUUGCAUGUGUUAGGCACGCCGCCAGCGUUCAUCCUGAGCCAGGAUCAAACUCU